rnacentral:rRNA from 1 species
UACGUAGGGUGCAAGCGUUAAUCGGAAUUACUGGGCGUAAAGCGCUCGUAGGCGGCCUUCUAAGUCAGACGUGAAAUCCCCCGGCUUAACCUGGGAACUGCGUCUGAUACUGGGAGGCUUGAGUAUGGGAGAGGGAUGUAGAAUUCCAGGUGUAGCGGUGAAAUGCGUAGAUAUCUGGAGGAAUACCGGUGGCGAAGGCGGCAUCCUGGACCAUAACUGACGCUGAGGCGCGAAAGCUAGGGGAGCAAACGGG